CGCUAGCUACAGGCUUAACACAUGCAAGUCGAGGGGCAGCAUGGUCUUAGCUUGCUAAGGCCGAUGGCGACCGGCGCACGGGUGAGUAACACGUAUCCAACCUGCCGUCUACUCUUGGACAGCCUUCUGAAAGGAAGAUUAAUACAAGAUGGCAUCAUGAGUCCGCAUGUUCACAUGAUUAAAGGUAUUCCGGUAGACGAUGGGGAUGCGUUCCAUUAGAUAGUAGGCGGGGUAACGGCCCACCUAGUCUUCGAUGGAUAGGGGUUCUGAGAGGAAGGUCCCCCACAUUGGAACUGAGACACGGUCCAAACUCCUACGGGAGGCAGCAGUGAGGAAUAUUGGUCAAUGGACGAGAGUCUGAACCAGCCAAGUAGCGUGCAGGAAGACGGCCCUAUGGGUUGUAAACUUCUUUUGUCCGGGAAUAAAACCGCCUACGUGUAGGCGCUUGUAUGUACCGGUACGAAUAAGCAUCGGCUAACUCCGUGCCAGCAGCCGCGGUAAUACGGAGGAUGCGAGCGUUAUCCGGAUUUAUUGGGUUUAAAGGGAGCGCAGACGGGUUUUUAAGUCAGCUGUGAAAGUUUGGGGCUCAACCUUAAAAUUGCAGUUGAUACUGGAGACCUUGAGUGCAGUUGAGGCAGGCGGAAUUCGUGGUGUAGCGGUGAAAUGCUUAGAUAUCACGAAAAACUCCGAUUG
rnacentral:rRNA from 1 species